rnacentral:rRNA from 1 species
ACUCAGGAUGAACGCUAGCUACAGGCUUAACACAUGCAAGUCGAGGGGCAGCAUGAAGUUUGCUUGCAAACUUUGAUGGCGACCGGCGCACGGGUGAGUAACGCGUAUCCAACCUUCCCUAUACUAGAGGAUAGCCCGGCGAAAGUCGGAUUAAUACUCUAUGUUCUUCGUAGAAGACAUCUGAAAUGAAGCAAAGGUUUACCGGUAUAGGAUGGGGGAUGCGUCUGAUUAGGUUGUUGGCGGGGUAACGGCCCACCAAGCCCACGAUCAGUAGGGGUUCUGAGAGGAAGGUCCCCCACAUUGGAACUGAGACACGGUCCAAACUCCUACGGGAGGCAGCAGUGAGGAAUAUUGGUCAAUGGACGAGAGUCUGAACCAGCCAAGUAGCGUGCAGGAUGACGGCCCUAUGGGUUGUAAACUGCUUUUAUACAGGGAUAAAGUGACGUACGUGUACGUUUUUGUAGGUACUGUAUGAAUAAGGACCGGCUAAUUCCGUGCCAGCCGCUGC